UGGGGAAUGGCAGAUUGGAUGUGUUGGGCUUAAGACCUAAUUAUGGAGGUUGGAUUCCUUCUUCUCCUA
rnacentral:tRNA from 1 species